UUCAACUCAGAAAAGAGUGAAGAAACAGGCCCUCCAGUUUCUGUUGAAGCUGAGGAUGGUGGCUAUCUCCUCAUUACUCAAUGUGAAGUCGAAGACCUG